GUCUACGACCAUAUCACGUUGAAAACACGUUUCGUCGGCGAUCACCGAAGUAAGCAAACGUCGAGCCCGGUUAUACUUGGAUGGGUGACCGCCUGGAAUACCGGGUG
rnacentral:rRNA from 1 species